GACGAACCGAGCGAACGUUGUUCGGAAUCACUGGGCUUAAAGGGUGCGUAGGCGGGCCGUCUAGUCCGUGGUGAAAUCCUCCGGCUCAACCGGAGAAGUGCCUCGGAUACUGGCGGCCUCGAGGGGGGUAGGGGCGUGCGGAACUUCCGGUGGAGCGGUGAAAUGCGUAGAUAUCGGAAGGAACACCGGUGGCGAAAGCGGCGCGCUGGACCCCAUCUGACGCUGAGGCACGAAAGCCAGGGGAGCAAACGGG
rnacentral:rRNA from 1 species